GCCGGUGCUGUGGUGCACACCUGUAAUCCCAGCAGCUCCGGAGGCUGAGACAAGAGGAUCACAAGCUCAAAGCCAGCCUCAGCCAUGGCAAGGCCCUUAGCAACUCAGUGAGACCCUGUCUCUA
rnacentral:sRNA from 1 species